UACGAAGGGGGCGAGCGUUGUUCGGAAUUACUGGGCGUAAAGGGCGCGUAGGCGGGUUCGCAAGUCUGUGGUGAAAGCCUCCAGCUUAACUGGAGAAGUGCCAUGGAUACUGCGAGCCUCGAGGAGGGUAGGGGCAUCUGGAACAGUAGGUGGAGCGGUGAAAUGCGUUGAUAUCUACUGGAACUCCGGUGGCGAAGGCGAGGUGCUGGACCCUUUCUGACGCUGAGGCGCGAAAGCCAGGGGAGCGAACGGG
rnacentral:rRNA from 1 species